AUUGAACGCUGGCGGCAGGCUUAACACAUGCAAGUCGAGCGGAGAUGAGGUGCUUGCACCUUAUCUUAGCGGCGGAUGGGUGAGUAAUGCUUAGGAAUCUGCCUAUUAGUGGGGGACAACAUUCCGAAAGGAAUGCUAAUACCGCAUACGCCCUACGGGGGAAAGCAGGGGAUCUUCGGACCUUGCGCUAAUAGAUGAGCCUAAGUCGGAUUAGCUAGUUGGUGGGGUAAAGGCCUACCAAGGCGACGAUCUGUAGCGGGUCUGAGAGGAUGAUCCGCCACACUGGGACUGGGACACGGCCCAGACUCCUACGGGAGGCAGCAGUGGGGAAUAUUGGACAAUGGGCGGAAGCCUGAUCCAGCCAUGCCGCGUGUGUGAAGAAGGCCUUUUGGUUGUAAAGCACUUUAAGCGAGGAGGAGGCUACCUGGAUUAAUACUCUAGGAUAGUGGACGUUACUCGCAGAAUAAGCACCGGCUAACUCUGUGCCAGCCGCCGCGGUAAGAC
rnacentral:rRNA from 1 species